rnacentral:rRNA from 1 species
AGCGGAUCAAUAGGGAGCUUGCUCCCUUGAGAUCAGCGGCGGACGGGUGAGUAACACGUGGGCAACCUGCCUGUAAGACUGGGAUAACUCCGGGAAACCGGGGCUAAUACCGGAUAACAUGGUCCACCACAUGGUGGACCAUUAAAAGAUGGCUUCGGCUAUCACUUACAGAUGGGCCCGCGGCGCAUUAGCUAGUUGGUGAGGUAAGGGCUCACCAAGGCGACGAUGCGUAGCCGACCUGAGAGGGUGAUCGGCCACACUGGGACUGAGACACGGCCCAGACUCCUACGGGAGGCAGCAGUAGGGAAUCUUCGGCAAUGGACGAAAGUCUGACCGAGCAACGCCGCGUGAGCGAUGAAGGCCUUCGGGUCGUAAAGCUCUGUUGUUAGGGAAGAACAAGUACCGUUCGAAUAGGGCGGUACCUUGACGGUACCUAACCAGAAAGCCACGGCUAACUACGUGCCAGCAGCCGCGGUAAUACGUAGGUGGCAAGCGUUGUCCGGAAUUAUUGGGCGUAAAGCGCGCGCAGGCGGUCUCUUAAGUCUGAUGUGAAAGCCCACGGCUCAACCGUGGAGAGCCAUUGGAAACUGGGGGACUUGA